GAAGUGUUAAAUUGAAAUAUUUUUUUUUAUUGAAUCCGAUAAAUUAACAAUGUCUUUACUCACAUUACCGAGUAGUUUGGCUAAUACAACAAGAGUGCACGAAAAAUGGCUGCAAAUUAUACAGGCUGCUCAAGAUGCCGUGGCAGAUGAUAUGGAUCAACAGAAUUUCUCAGCAAAAGGAAUACGUAUAAAAGAGCGAGCAAUACCACCAGAAAUACUUGGCAGAAACUAUAGCAGAUACUGCUACCUUAUCAACCAGAUGUAUGACGCCUACUUAAACAAUGUACACCUGCAGAGAGCCACAUAUAUACAAGAGAUCAUCAAUAUUUGUAUGAA